rnacentral:rRNA from 1 species
AGUGAACGCUGGCGGUAGGCCUAACACAUGCAAGUCGAACGGCAGCACAGUAAGAGCUUGCUCUUACGGGUGGCGAGUGGCGGACGGGUGAGGAAUACAUCGGAAUCUACUUUUUCGUGGGGGAUAACGUAGGGAAACUUACGCUAAUACCGCAUACGACCUACGGGUGAAAGCAGGGGAUCUUCGGACCUUGCGCGAUUGAAUGAGCCGAUGUCGGAUUAGCUAGUUGGCGGGGUAAAGGCCCACCAAGGCGACGAUCCGUAGCUGGUCUGAGAGGAUGAUCAGCCACACUGGAACUGAGACACGGUCCAGACUCCUACGGGAGGCAGCAGUGGGAAUAUUGGACAAAGGGCGCAAGCCUGAUCCAGCCAUACCGCGUGGGUGAAGAAGGCCUUCGGGUUGUAAAGCCCUUUUGUUGGGAAAGAAAAGCAGCAGGUUAAUACCCCGCUGUUCUGACGGUACCCAAAGAAUAAGCACCGGCUAACUUCGUG